AUACGAGGGGUGCAAGCGUUGUUCGGAAUUACUGGGCGUAAAGGGAGCGUAGGCGGAGAUUCAAGCGGAUUGUACAAUCCCGGGGCCCAACCCCGGCUCUGCAGUCCGAACUGGAUCUCUUGGAUAGUUCAGGGGCAGGCGGAAUUCCUGGUGUAGCGGUGGAAUGCGUAGAGAUCAGGAAGAACACCGAUGGCGAAGGCAGCCUGCUGAGGACUUAUCGACGCUGAGGCUCGAAAGUGCGGGGAGCAAACAGGAUUAGAUACCCUGGUAGUCCGCAGCGUAAACGAUGCAUACUGGGUGUCCGGGGGUUCCCCCGGGUACCGUAGCCAACGCGUUAAGUAUGCCGCCUGGGGAGUACGGACGCAAGUAUGAAACUCAAAGGAAUUGACGGGG
rnacentral:rRNA from 1 species